CCAUUUGGCUCGCACCAAAGGGUCCUCCACGCUGUUGCUGUUAAGGUGCUUGUUGAUCUGUGCAACGGCGUUGUCGAAGAAGAUCACGGAGGUGUCGUAGAGCCCUUCCACCGCGUAUUCUCUUGCCAGUUUAAGGUAUGAAGAGGCUACAACCAAAAACUAUCUAUUGUUAUGCUUGAUGCGCAACAUCAUGAGGUUGCUUAAAGUACGCACUUGCACUUGCUUCUCGAAAACAACCGAUGAUCAAUGAUGGAAAUUGUUUGUUGUUUGCAGUAAGUUAACGAAUGAGGCAUAGGAAAAAGAGGAAAUUAAUCAUAAUAAAACAAGAGAGAUAAAGGAGAACGGUAGUGUCUCUUAAGGAGAAAUUUUAAUUACUAUUGCAUCUACAUUAUAUGUGUCACAUCUAAUUGACUAUAGCUUCAUAUAUUAAAUGAAA